AGAUUGAACGCUGGCGGCAUGCCUUACACAUGCAAGUCGAACGGUAACGCGGGGCAACCUGGCGACGAGUGGCGAACGGGUGAGUAAUGCAUCGGAACGUGCCCAGUAGUGGGGGAUAGCCCGGCGAAAGCCGGAUUAAUACCGCAUACGACCUACGGGUGAAAGCGGGGGACUCGCAAGAGCCUCGCGCUAUUGGAGCGGCCGAUGUCAGAUUAGCUAGUUGGUGGGUAAAAGCCUACCAAGGCGACGAUCUGUAGCUGGUCUGAGAGGACGACCAGCCACACUGGGACUGAGACACGGCCCAGACUCCUACGGGAGGCAGCAGGUGGGAAUUUGGACAAUGGGCGCAAGCCUGAUCCAGCCAUGCGCGUGCGGGAAGAAGGCCUCGGUUGUAACCGUCUUUGUCAGGAAGAAACGCUCGUGGCUAAGUACCCUAGGGUAAUGACGGUACCUACGAAG
rnacentral:rRNA from 1 species